AGGACGAACGCUGGCGGCGUGCUUCACACAUGCAAGUCGAACGGGGCUCAUUCGGUGGUAACACCGGAGAAGGCCUAGUGGCGAACGGGUGCGUAACACGUGAAGAACCUGCCCCGAAGACUGGGAUAACAGCGGGAAACCGCUGCUAAUACCGGAUGACCCCACCAGGCCGCAUGGCCAGGUGAGGAAAUGGGCCUACCGCUUCGGGAGGGCUUCGCGGCCUAUCAGCUUGUUGGUGGGGUAACGGCCUACCAAGGCUACGACGGGUAGCUGGUCUGAGAGGACGACCAGCCACACUGGGACUGAGACACGGCCCAGACUCCUACGGGAGGCAGCAGUGGGGAAUCUUGCGCAAUGGGCGAAAGCCUGACGCAGCAACGCCGCGUGAGGGAUGAAGGUCUCGGGUUGUAAACCUCUUUCGAGCAGGGACGAUUGUGACGGUACCUGCAGAAGAAGCUCCGGCCAACUACGUGCCAGCAGCCGCGGU
rnacentral:rRNA from 1 species